AACGAACGCUGGCGGCAUGCCUAACACAUGCAAGUCGAGCGCCCGUAGCAAUACGGGAGCGGCGCACGGGUGAGUAACGCGUGGGAACCUGCCCAGAGGUUCGGGACAACCGCGGGAAACUGCGGCUGAUACCGGAUGAUACCUGAGGGUCAAAGAUUUAUCGCCUUUGGAGGGGCCCGCGUCGGAUUAGGUAGUUGGUGGGGUAACGGCCUACCAAGCCUAUGAUCCGUAACUGGUCUGAGAGGAUGACCAGUCACACUGGGACUGAGACACGGCCCAGACUCCUACGGGAGGCAGCAGUGGGGAGUAUUGGACAAUGGGGGCAACCCUGAUCCAGCAAUGCCGCGUGGGUGAUGAA
rnacentral:rRNA from 1 species